rnacentral:rRNA from 1 species
CCCUUAGAUGUUCUGGGCCGCACGCGCGCUACACUGAUGCAUUCAACGAGUUUCUUCCUGGUCCGAGAGGAAUGGGUAACCUUUUGAAAGUGCAUCGUGAUGGGGAUAGACUAUUGCAAUUAUUGGUCUUCAACGAGGAAUUCCUAGUAGACGUAGUUCAUCAGACUGCAUCGAUUACGUCCCUGCCCUUUGUACGCACCGCCCGUCGCUCCUACCGAUUGAAUGCUCAGGUGGGCCAUUCGGACUUUCAUCAUGCUGGUUUCCAGUUUUGAUGAAGGAAAGUCUUGCGAACCUUAUCAUUUAGAGGAAGGAGAAGUCGUAACA